rnacentral:tRNA from 1 species
GUUUUAAUAAUUUAUAAAAAAUACUGGUCUUGUAAACCAGAAAUGAAAUAGCUUUCUUAAAACU